CACACGACCGUACCGCAAACCGACACUGGUGCGCGAGAUGAGUAUUCUAAGGCGCUUGAGAGAACUCAGGAGAAGGAACUCGGCAAAUUGACACCGUAACUUCGGAAGAAGGUGUGCCUUUAGUAGGUGAACCUGUACAAGGGGAGCCCAAUGAGGUUGCAAAAAAUCGGUGGCUGCGACUGUUUAAUAAAAACACAGCACUCUGCAAACACGAAAGUGGACGUAUAGGGUGUGACGCCUGCCCGGUGCUGGAAGAUUAAAUGAUGGGGUGCAAGCUCUUGAUUGAAGUCCCAGUAAACGGCGGCCGUAACGAUAACGGUCCUAAGGUAGCGAAAUUCCUUGUCGGGUAAGUUCCGACCUGCACGAAUGGCGUAACGAUGGCCACACUGUCUCCUCCUGAGACUCAGCGAAGUUGAAAUGUUUGUGAUGAUGCAAUCUCCCCGCGGAAAGACGGAAAGACCCCAUGAACCUUUACUGUAGCUUUGUAUUGGACUUGAACAGAUCUGUGUAGGAUAGGUGGGAGGCUUUGAAGUGUGGUCGCUAGAUCGCAUGGAGCCAACGUUGAAAUACCACCCUGGUGUGUUUGAGGUUCUAACCUAGGCCCGUAAUCCGGGUCGGGGACAGUGCAUGGUAGGCAGUUUGACUGGGGCGGUCUCCUCCCAAAGCGUAACGGAGGAGUUCGAAGGUACGCUAGGUACGGUCGGACAUCGUGCUAAUAGUGCAAUGGCAUAAGCGUGCUUAACUGCGAGACUGACAAGUCGAGCAGAUGCGAAAGCAGGACAUAGUGAUCCGGUGGUUCUGUAUGGAAGGGCCAUCGCUCAACGGAUAAAAGGUACUCUGGGGAUAACAGGCUGAUACCGCCCAAGAGUUCAUAUCGACGGCGGUGUUUGGCACCUCGAUGUCGGCUCAUCUCAUCCUGGGGCUGUAGCCGGUCCCAAGGGUAUGGCUGUUCGCCAUUUAAAGAGGUACGUGAGCUGGGUUUAAAACGUCGUGAGACAGUUUGGUCCCUAUCUUCCGUGGGCGCUGCAGAUUUGAGGAAGCCUGCUCCUAGUACGAGAGGACCGGAGUGGACACACCUCUGGUGUAUCGGUUGUCACGCCAGUGGCAUUGCCGAGUAGCUAUGUGUGGAAGAGAUAACCGCUGAAAGCAUCUAAGCGGGAAACUCGUUUCAAGAUGAGAUCUGCCGGGGCCUUGAGCCCCCUAAAGAGUCGUUCAAGACCAGGACGUUGAUAGGUCGGGUGUGGAAGCGCAGUAAUGCGUUAAGCUAACCGAUACUAAUUGCUCGUGCGGCUUGAUC
rnacentral:rRNA from 1 species